rnacentral:rRNA from 1 species
GACGAACGCUGGCGGCGUGCCUAAUACAUGCAAGUCGAACGAACCGCGACUAGGUGCUUGCACUUGGUCAAGGUGAGUGGCGAACGGGUGAGUAACACGUGGGUAACCUACCUCAUAGUGGGGGAUAACAGUCGGAAACGACUGCUAAUACCGCAUAGGACAUAGGAUCACAUGAUCCAGUGAGGAAAGGUGGCGCAAGCUAUCGCUAAGAGAUGGACCCGCGGUGCAUUAGCUAGUUGGUAGGGUAAAGGCCUACCAAGGCGAUGAUGCAUAGCCGACCUGAGAGGGUGAUCGGCCACAUUGGGACUGAGACACGGCCCAAACUCCUACGGGAGGCAGCAGUAGGGAAUCUUCCGCAAUGGACGCAAGUCUGACGGAGCAACGCCGCGUGAGUGAAGAAGGUCUUCGGAUCGUAAAGCUCUGUUGUUAGAGAAGAACAGCGCAUAGAGUAACUGUUAUGCGUGUGACGGUAUCUAACCAGAAAGCCACGGCUAACUACG